rnacentral:rRNA from 1 species
AUUGAACGCUGGCGGCAGGCCUAACACAUGCAAGUCGAACGAGUGGCGAACGGGUGAGUAAUACGUGGGUAACUGCCCGAUAGAGGGGGAUAACCACUGGAAACGGUGGCUAAUACCGCAUACUAUCGGACAACCCAUAUGGGAUUAGCUAGUAGGUAAGGUAAUGGCUUACCUAGGCGACGAUCCCUAGCUGGUCUGAGAGGAUGAUCGGCCACACUGGGACGGAGACACGGCCCAGACUCCUACGGAGGCAGCAGUGGGGAAUAUUGCACAAUGGGCGCAAGCCUGAUGCAGCCAUGCCGCGUGUAUGAAGAAGGCCCUAGGGUUGUAAAGUACUUUCAGUCGGGAGGCGUUACCGACAGAAGAAGCACCGGCUAACUCCGUGCCAGCAGCCGCGGUAAUAC